AAAAUGGACUGCGUGAAUGCGUAUGUCUAGAAUGAAUAAAGUUUGUUAAACAAUUUUUCAAAGAUUUCAACAAUAAAAGUAGUUGGUAAAUAAUUAAUGGCCUUCAUUCGUGUGAAUGUAGUGUAAUCGAACCUCGUACGUAAGUAACAUCGUUGUAAACCAACGUUAUGAUCGGUUUGUCUUGGGCUCUCUAUCUCUUAAGGAGUCCACUUGGAAUGAAGGCGAAUGCAUAUUACAAGCGGACUUUUCAUUGGUACAGUGGCAGACGAAUAAAUCCAUCCACACAUUAUCAAAAUUGAAGAUUUAAGUAUAUGAAACAAACUCGAUCCUCGCAAGAAAAUGUCCGAAGAUAUAUACUUUAUAUGGUAAUGAACUGAUCGCAGUUCUCAGUUAGUAUCUGCAUUAUCUUGCUUCAUGUUAUGGACUUAUUUCUUACCCCAAUUUACAAUUAUUGAGGUUUCAAUAACCGAGUUGUACCUUGGAAGAAUUUGUCGCAAGCUCAAAUAAAAAAUACAUACCCAUACUUAGCUUGAUUUUUGAGAAUAUCGCUCUGCAUACGAAACAAUGAUAAUCAUAGUGAUGUAAGUGAAAUGAGCGUAUUUCAAAAAGUAUCUGAAAAGAAAUUAAAAACCAAAAAUGCUCAAGAUACAACACUCUCCGCUACUACUUUUAGUUUGGAAAAUUAAUGAAAUACUGAAACGAAAAAAUGGGGACAUUUUUAUUCGAUGGCUACCAACACCAACUUUCUAACUAUCUCAGCAAAAAGUUAACGUUUGUGGAUCUUAAAGAGCUCUAUUUUAAAACUAGACGAUGUAAAACUCUCGUUAGAACAAACACUAGGCAGAGUAUAUGGUAACCAUAGCAAAAAGGUACGGUUUAUUUUGGUCCUAUAAGACGGAUUUUGACAUAAAUCGUCAAAAACGAGUUCUCCAAUAUUAAACGAAAGUCCGCAGUAAAAAUAUGAAAAUACCAAAACCUCAAAUGCACGGACUCGCACAAAGUCGGAUCACGAAAUGGUUAAUUAGUUCACUUAUCAAUGCCGCCCUUGGAGGACUUGCCUUUCAAAUCUUCUACAUUGAUCACAAAAAGAAAAUUUAUAACGAUUUUUACGCGAACUACGACAUUGACAAAGAAUUCGAGACUAUGAGGGCGAAAGGAUUGUUUGAUUCCUGCUAACUGAAAGCCUGGACUAUUAUUAGCUAGAUUAUAAAUAAUAUGUUCAUUCAAUGUUCACAUAAAGGAUAAAAACAGA